rnacentral:rRNA from 1 species
UAUCUCUGUAGAGUCUGCAUAUCAAUAAGCGGAGGAAAAGAAACUAACAAGGAUUCCCUUAGUAACGGCGAGUGAAGCGGGAAGAGCUCAAAUUUGAAAUCUUCAAGGUUUUACCUUGACGAAUUGUAGUUUAAAGAAGUGUUUUCUGUUGAAGUUUCGGUAAGAGUUCUUUGGAAUAGGACAUCAUAGAGGGUGAGAAUCCCGUAUUUGACCAGUUAUUUUCCAGCUGUGUGAUACACUUUCAAAGAGUCGGAUUGUUUGGGAAUGCAGUCCAAAAUGGGUGGUAAAUUUCAUCUAAAGCUAAAUACUGGCGAGAGACCGAUAGCGAACAAGUACCGUGAGGGAAAGAUGAAAAGAACUUUGAAAAGAGAGUUAAACAGUACGUGAAAUUGUCAAAAGGGAAGCGUUUGACACCAGUGUUGUUUUCUCGAAAAUCAAUUAAAAAAUGCUGGAUUUUGUGUUGUAUUGACCUUUAUCAAGCUUUCUUCACUUUUUUCCUGUCUAUUUUUAAUGCACUUUUCGUUUAACAAGUCAACAUCAGUUUCUUUUGUUGUAAAAGGGUCAUUGGAAGGUGGCUUUCUUUUCGGAGAAAGUGUUUAUAGCCUUUGACUUCUGCAAUCGGAGAGAUUGAGGUCUGCAGCGUAGAUCCUUCUGGAUUAGAUUCAUUUGUGCUAAGUUAUAGCCUUUCAUAGACAACUUGUUGACUAUGAUCAGUCAUGUAGCUUACUCGCUUAUGUCUAUUUUACCUACGCUUAGGAUGUUGAUCUCUCACAGUCGAGC